UUAGGUUAGCAAGAUAGAUAAAAUUCAAGAAUAGAAUUCAAUCAUAUCGGCAAACAAUUUGCAGUGAUAACAAGCGGAUGUUCCGCAAUUCGUUACUUCCGCGCCAGAACUAAUUAAAGCGAAUUGAAAGGUAAUUGAAUUAAGCUUUCAAUCGUUAUCUCCCCGAGAGAUGUGCCCCAGUCUCAGAGGCUGGGCUGCGAAUCGUUUCCUUCGAAUGGUUGGCCGGACGAGAAGAUUGGAAGAACAAUACUUCGAAAUAAAAGCGGAGGACAAGAUUCGAAGGAUCCAAUUUAGAACGGAAUACGCCUAUUCGAGAUUCUUUCACAAUGCCAAUUUCUUUCCUUCCUCCUAGAGGGUCGGACCGUUUUUCGGCCGGCUAAUAGUUUCUGAUCGAGUUCUGUGUUUGUCAUUCAUUAUUAAUCUAUCCAACCAGCCUACACAAACUAACUGCUCCCUCUCUCCCUCCCUCGAUAGCGAUCAAAUACAAUCUUUUAAAAUUUAUAAAUCAAUUCUACAAAAUUCUACAAAAUUCGUUAAAAAAAUACACGAAUAUUUUUAUCAAAUUUCCCAAAUUUUCUCUAAAAUAUAAAUCGUUGUCCAAUUGAGAUUGAAAACAUGCCUAAAUUACUCGAGCACCUAUUAAAGCCGAAAUGCGAUUACAAUCGAUGAAAGGUUUAAUACCUUGUAAGAAGCUCUCGAUGCUCUUCGAGUAUCCCCAGAGCGCAUUAUUUUCGUUCGAGCUGUUUCGAGAUAUCCCCACGACCCCUCUCUAUCGGGUGUCCCGAUAAUUUAUACGUCCACUCGAAAGAAAAGUUGCGCAAGAGUCCCGAUAAGAAGCCGUUUUUCAUUUCGCCCGCGAGCGAGAGAGAGCGACGAAAGCCAUUCUCGGUUCGAGAGAAAUAAAGAGAAGAGGAGGUGAAGGAAGAGGGAGGCGGGCCACCCUUCGAGAUUUCGCACCUUUCGCCAGGGAGAGGGUCGAACCUUUUUUUCCUCUCCCCAAGACUUAAUUUCAUUGCACACCCCUCUCGAUGGUUAUACUUAUUAUUUCCCUCCCUCCCUCCCUAAAUCAUCAAUUUCCCUUAUUAUUAGGUGUAUUCCUGAUUAGGAGAAAAACACCCCGCCCGGAACAAGAGUCGUUUCUCAAGAGAUAUCUUUGCGACAAUGUAAUAACGUCGCGGUAUCGUGCCAGCUCCUCUCCUAAUUCCAUUCUGAAAUGAUCUGGAAGAAAUAAAUGGGUUAAUAAAAUCGUGUUGCGGAACUUUGGGGAAAAAAUUAUGCUGGAGCGGUUUAAGGAAAGGAGAGGGGAGUGUGGAUAAAAUCGAUUGCGAACUUGAGAUUCUCGUUUCAUAUUCGAUCAAUGAUUUUUUUUUAGAGAGGAUUGCAUAACUCGUCCAAAAAAUAUUUUAUAUUUGUAUAAAACGAGAGAUUUCUCAACGCGAUCUUCUCGCUCUUAUUUUCCCAAAAUCGUUACGAAUUAUUCGAUUCUUCUAUAAUAUCAAAUAUAUAUCUGGAAAAAAUGAUUGUAGGUGUAAAUUAUACGAUCGUAUAUUUCAAGUAAAUUCGAAUAAGAAUUUUAAUAAAAGGAUAGAAGUGUGACGUACGAGCCAAUAUCGAAAACGAAUUUUUGUAAAAAUCGGCUCCCGAUUUUUUUUCUCUCUCUCUCUCACACACAUCUCGUAAUAUCGUUUCGUUCGAAAAUUUAACUUCCGAUCCGAUAUUCGGGUCGGGGUUGAUUUAUGAAGCCUAUUAAGGAACUGCGAAAUUGUUUUGACCGAUAGGAAAUGGUUAGGUUAGGGUGGGACAAAUGAAAGUUCGUAACUCGUUGAGGGUGGCACGGCGUUUCUUGUUUUACCACGGAUCGCGGGGGCGAAAUCUACGAAGAUAUCACAAGUUUCUUGUUAUUGUUGUUGACCCUCUGUUAUUGCAAACCAGAACUUCCAGGUUGCAAAUUAGUCACGGCGAUUUGAUUCCACGGAUAUUAAUCACUUCUUAUCCAUCCUCGGUACAUUUAUUCGCUCGGUAAAACAGCGCGACUCUCGAAUCGGUUAAAUAUUUGCCUGUAUCCGAUUGAAUUUUCCUUCAAUAUCUUGUCUUCGCUUAUUUACACUUUGCCGGUGGUAGGAAAUGAGAGAUUUAUUUUAAACUUUUCACCUUUUUCUUUUUUUUUUUUUUUACUAUAAUAACUUUUUUUUAAUCCACUAAAUAAUUUCAAGUUAAUUUCGAGUUAAUUGAAACUCGAAGUGUUGUCUUUGGUUAUUCUCUUUGAUUAUCUUAGAGUUUCCGAUUACUUUCAACAAGCAUUCACUAACCAUCAAUAUUUGACGGAAAAACGUCGCCGGAAAUCACGGAAAUCUAUUAUUCUCCGGUUCGAUUUCGAAAGGGAAGCCGGUUUCACUGCUCUCGAAAUCAGAUUACGUGAAUUUAUAGGGUCACUCACGAGCCCUAAACCUCGGGUCGUUCCCGCGAGAAUCCACAGAAAACGUACACAAUUAAACCGCCUUAGGGCUUCCGUUAGUACAUCGUAGUACAGCUUUAACUGUACUACCAUCAUUUCCACGUUCAUGAGAAUUUAAACGGUACACUAAGCUCGUGAUUAUUCAAGAUCGUUAAACGAAGUUAAUGUUUUCGUAAAUUACAGCGAUCGAAAUUUCAAAGGAAAAUCACUUUUCUUACGAUAAUACGAAGAAAUACACCAUUACAUUGUGCGACGAAUAUUAUUUAACUUAGUAUAAAUUUAGUUACUUUUCGCUCGAAAUAUACCUUAACACGUUCCAUGCAUUAGAUCGUACCACGUGAAGUUGCCAACUUCAGAAUAAAUCAACUGCUACUUGUAAACUCUACUUAACCUAUAUUUCGCUUAGCAUAUUUUUCGCGUCGUCCUCUUAUAUCUCGUUUGCGUAGCAAGUUCUUUUUCUAUUGGUUUAACUGUUCCUUGAGAAGUGAACGAAUUUAGAAUAUUAUUCCUUAUACGAGUUUAACUUGGGCUACAGUGCAUAUCGAAAUAUUAGGUUAGCUUUCGGAGAAGAUUCUGUCGAUGAGAGGACUGUUAAUAAAUCGAAAGCCAAAGUGGAAGCAGAGUUAGACGUAUCUCCAAUAACGGUUUUCAGACAUUUGAGUGCAAUGGAUAAAGUGAAAAAAAUUGGAAAAGUGUAUUGUACCAUCAACUGACAGAAUGCGUCUUGUAAGUGUGCUUAUCGUGUAAAGCUCGAAAGAACAGAUGUCUCUUUUUGAAUAGAAUUAUAACUCGUGAUGAGAAAUAGAUACGAUAAUACAAUUUGGACAAUGAUUGAACGCUAAUAAAAAUCCUAAAUAAAUACCGAAACCAUUAUUAUGGACGAGAAAAGUUAUGGUGACUGUAUGAUCCAUAAAGAAAAAUAAUUCAUCGUUCUUUUCUAAAACAAGGUGAUAUUAUAACAAAAGUAGAUAUCUCAUCAACCGAUUAUCGCUUUACGCUUAUUUUUAAAAAUAUUCGACUAAAAGUUGUAAUAGCAACAUUCGACGAAUUUCUUCGCGCUAAAACCAACAAGUUUUACAAAAAUGGAAUUAUGUCGGUUCAUAUUUUGGUUGAAUAAAGUUUAAUAAAAGAAAAUAUAUCGUUUUUCUUUCGACCAACAACAAAAAUUUCUAAUAUAAACGAAAUAUCGAAAAAUUCGCCGUGUCCCUUGAGCGUGCUCGAAACCUAGGAACGGAAUAAUACGCGAAAAAUCCAGUACGUUGCCUCUCCUCGAGAGGGAGCCCCUAACCAAGCGCACGAGUGGCAGCAUCCGUUAAAACGAUCCGUCAGAAGCCGUUCGAUUGAUAGACUCGACGGGCAUGAAAUAUUUAAACCGCUUAGCAGAGGCUCCCACGUCGUUUUUCGCCCGGCUUAAACCGUAUUCACCGCGGGCGGAGGAGAAAUAAUUACAAAGUUACCGAGCCAAGGAGAAAGUUUUCCCGAUACACGCGGCCCGCGUAGCUUCGAAUAUCGUUCCCAUCGCCCGGAUUGCCGUGUCCGGAAGGGUCUUUCGAGUCGUAAAAGCGGGUCCAAGUGCUCUUUACAUGCAUAUUGCCUUUCCUCGAGGAGCGGCGUGCUCACGCUGCCGACGGACGUCGCGGUUCGUCCGUUUGUCGAACACACCUCGAACAGGAGGGAUGCUCCGUGACGCCACGAAGAGAAAGAGGAGGAGGAAGAGGAGGGGAACUCUUCGAAUUUUAUGCCACGUUUAACCUUCGAUCGAUUUUCCUUUGCGAUCGUGGAAAGAAAAAGAGAAAAAAGGAAGAAAGAGAAAGAAGGUAGGAUAGCCAUUAUCGCGAGGCUUUCGCAAGUUUCACGAAAGGCGAGAUGAAGUCAUCAAUGAAGGCUAAAGAAGAAUUUAUCGUCCAACGAGAAAGUUGAGAUGGGGGAGUUAAAGUGGCGAAUCUCUUGCGAGACUCUUCUUCGUUGCGGCGUUUAAAAUUUAUUUCAAAGAUUAGGUUCGAUUAGGGGAAAUGUCGAGACGAUAAUUAUCCCAAUCGAAAGAUUAUGCAAAAUUCUCGUUUACGUUAGGAACGAAAUUUUAAUUUUGCUAAUAAUUAAACUGUAUCUCAACUUGAAAAAAAAAA